UGAUGAUAAAACAUAGCUGAAAAGUGAUGAACCCUAUGAGUACUGAU
rnacentral:misc_RNA from 1 species